rnacentral:rRNA from 1 species
CCUACGGGAGGCAGCAGUGAGGAAUAUUGGUCAAUGGACGAGAGUCUGAACCAGCCAAGUAGCGUGAAGGAUGACUGCCCUAUGGGUUGUAAACUUCUUUUAUAUGGGAAUAAAACGUUCCACGUGUGGGAUUUUGUAUGUACCAUAUGAAUAAGCAUCGGCUAACUCCGUGCCAGCAGCCGCGGUAAUACGGAGGAUCCGAGCGUUAUCCGGAUUUAUUGGGUUUAAAGGGAGCGUAGGUGGAUUGUUAAGUCAGUUGUGAAAGUUUGCGGCUCAACCGUAAAAUUGCAGUUGAAACUGGCAGUCUUGAGUACAGGAGAGGUGGGCGGAAUUCGUGGUGUAGCGGUGAAAUGCUUAGAUAUCACGAAGAACUCCGAUUGCGAAGGCAGUUCACUGGACUGCAACUGACACUGAGGCUCGAAAGUGUGGGUAUCAAACAGGAUUAGAUACCCGGGUAGUC